rnacentral:misc_RNA from 1 species
UCAGUUGAAUCACAAAAAGGGCAGUCAGAGCAUGGAAGGCUUCUGGCCAAUCCAUGAUCUUAUAUCCUAUUGUAGCCUACUCUUGAGUGGUUUCAUCUACUAAAUUAAUGUUGAUUAUAAUUAUCAUAAGCUAUGUUAAUGUAGUUAAUGACACAUUUAGAGAUACUUCACCUGUGUCUUUGUAAGAAUGCCAAUUAUACAAUGAUCCCAAAAAGAAAUGUUUCUUAAUACAAGAUGAAAUGAAAAGGAAAACAACUUCAAAUUUGUUUUUAAUGGAUACAAAUCUGAGGGGAGAAACGAAGAUUAACACCUUUUUAUUAUGACUUCCAAAUGAAAAGUGAAUAUAUAGUGAGCUUUGCAUAUGCUAGAAGUGAAAUCUGAGCUUAUGAUUUCAAUGUAUAAAUAAAUAAUAGAAAGAACCCUUAUAUUAAAG